AGUGAACGCUGGCGGCAGGCCUAACACAUGCAAGUCGAACGGAAGCACAGUAAGCUUUCGCUCUUACGGGUGGCGAGUGGCGGACGGGUGAGGCAUACAUCGGCAUCUACUUUUUCGUGGGGGAUAACGUAGGGACACUUCCGAUACUACCUCAUACGUUCUACGGGUGAAAGCAGGGGUUCUUCGGACCUUGCCCGAUUGAAUGAGAUGAUGUCGGAUUAGCUAGUUGGCGGGGUAAAGGCCCACCAAGGCGACGAUGCGUAGCUGGUCUGAGAGGAUGAUCAGCCACACUGGAACUGAGACACGGUCCAGACUCCUACGGGAGGCAGCAGUAGGGAAUAUUGGGCAAUGGGCGCAAGCCUGAUGCAGCCAUACCGCGUGGGUGAAGAAGGCCUUCGGGUUGUAAAGCCCUUUUAUUAGGAAAGAAAAACAGCAGAAGAAUACCCCGCUGUUCUGACGGUACCCAAUGAGAAAGCACCGGCUAACUUCGUG
rnacentral:rRNA from 1 species